UACGAAGGGGGCUAGCGUUGCUCGGAAUCACUGGGCGUAAAGCGCACGUAGGCGGAUUGUUAAGUCAGGGGUGAAAUCCUGGAGCUCAACUCCAGAACUGCGUUUGAUACUGGCGAUCUCGAGUCCGGGAGAGGUGAGUGGAACUGCGAGUGUAGAGGUGAAAUUCGUAGAUAUUCGCAAGAACACCAGUGGCGAAGGCGGCUCGCUGGCCCGGUACUGACGCUGAGGUGCGAAAGCGUGGGGAGCAAACAGG
rnacentral:rRNA from 1 species